GGGGAGGGACUCUUCCUUAGGGACUGUAGUGGUAGGACAAGGGGUACUGGGUUCAAACUUAAGUCAGGGGAAGUUCCGGUUGGAUAUAA